rnacentral:rRNA from 1 species
AUUGAACGCUGGCGGCAGGCUUAACACAUGCAAGUCGAGCGGGCGAGGUUGCUUCGGUAACUGAGCUAGCGGCGGACGGGUGAGUAAUGCUUAGGACUCUGCCUAUCAGUGGGGGACAACAUUCCGAAAGGAAUGCUAAUACCGCAUACGCCCUACGGGGAAAGCAGGGGAUCUUCGGACCUUGCGCUAAAAGAUGAGCCCAAGUCAGAUUAGCUAGUUGGUGGGGUAAAGGCCUACCAAGGCGACGAUCUGUAGCGGGUCUGAGAGGAUGAUCCGCCACACUGGGACUGAGACACGGCCCAGACUCCUACGGGAGGCAGCAGUGGGGAAUAUUGGACAAUGGGCGCAAGCCUGAUCCAGCCAUGCCGCGUGUGUGAAGAAGGCCUUUUGGUUGUAAAGCACUUUAAGCGAGGAGGAGGCUACCGAGAUUAAUACUCUUGGAUAGUGGACGUUACUCGCAGAAUAAGCACCGGCUAACUCUGUGCCAGCCGCCGCGGUAA